rnacentral:rRNA from 1 species
UACGAAGGGGGCUAGCGUUGCUCGGAAUCACUGGGCGUAAAGGGUGCGUAGGCGGGUCUUUAAGUCAGAGGUGAAAUCCUGGAGCUCAACUCCAGAACUGCCUUUGAUACUGAGGAUCUUGAGUACGGGAGAGGUGAGUGGAACUGCGAGUGUAGAGGUGAAAUUCGUAGAUAUUCGCAAGAACACCAGUGGCGAAGGCGGCUCACUGGCCCGUUACUGACGCUGAGGCGCGAAAGCAUGGGGAGCGAACGGG